ensembl:snRNA U6 U6 spliceosomal RNA
GUGCUUGCUUCGGCAGCACAUAUACUAAAAGUGGUGAUACAGAGAUUAGCACGGCCCUUGCGCAAGGAUGACCGCAAACUCAUGAAGCGUUCCACAUGCAG